UAGUCCCUACGGGGGGCAGCAGUGGGGAAUAUUGCACAAUGGGGGAAACCCUGAUGCAGCGACGCCGCGUGAGUGAAGAGGUAUUUCGGUACGUAAAGCUCUAUCAGCAGGGAAGAAAAUGACGGUACCUGACUAAGAAGCCCCGGCUAACUACGUGCCAGCAGCCGCGGUAAUACGUAGGGGGCAAGCGUUAUCCGGAUUUAUUGGGUGUAAAGGGUGCGUAGACGGGUAUACAAGUUAGUAGUGAAAUCCCUCGGCUUAACUGAGGAACUGCUCCUAAAACUAUAUAUCUUGAGUACUGGAGG
rnacentral:rRNA from 1 species